rnacentral:lncRNA from 1 species
AUUGCCAUCUAUUGGAUGACCUUGGAAAAUAGCAUGUUUUUACUAUGUAUGUACUCCGUAAUUCAUUUAAAAAAAAAAAAAAAGAGAGAGACAAACAGCAUACUGAAAUUAAAGACAUUGAGCAAAAAUUCCCAAGAACUUGCCAGUCAAGAUGAAAAACUUCUUCUAAUGGAAUCCAGCUUGAAAGCAACUCAAGAGCAGCUAAGUGAGCAAACAGCAGAAACAGUUCACCAAGAACAGAACAGUAGAAAAUCAGAGAGAGAGCUGAAUGAAGACCCUGAGAGAACGUAUUAUAGCAUCUGAAGAAGAAAUUAGUGGUUACAAGUAGUUUCCAUCUAGUUGACUCCAAAGACACCUUUGACGGAGAAUUCCCUGAGAGGAAAACCUUUUUGGAAGAACCUCCCAAGGCCUGCUAGCUAUGGAGCUUCCUGGCUUUCUCACAUCCCUCAUGAUGAUCAGACCAGUUCCUGAGAUCAAUGGGUCUACUAAGUACCUCUCUGGAGCCAUAAUGGUGACUAUCAUCUCUUUUGCUCUCUACAGAGACUCCUUGCUUAUAUUUCCUACCUUUCCUAUCGCUCAUCUUCCCUUCCCCAUCUCUCUAAAUGGCUAGGACUUGUAAUAAACUGGUCAGACCAACAUUUGAACCA